UCUGCACUGUGGCUGUCUUUACUUUU
rnacentral:piRNA from 1 species